CAAGAAUCCACAUUAUUCAUUACAAAGGAAUCAGAAUUACAGAUAGAUUUGAAGGUAUCACAUUCAUUUCCCAUAGUACUGUCAUAGAUGUAAAGGCCACCAACACGUUUACCCCUGCCAAUCAUCUUCAAGUUGCAUAGAUCUUGAAUAUCACAACAAUCAGUGAGAAACCUGACACUUAUAGAGGAUUUUCCAGUAAGUGCACUAAUGGAUAGUUUCCUUGAGACUGAUCUGGAAUAUGACCAGAAAUUUGAUUAGCAGCAGUAGUAUUUGGAUGAGGAAUAUAACCUGUGUGGCUACUUGAUCCAUCUUUCAGCUUUGACUUGUAUCUUGGUGGAUAUCCAUGGAGUUUAUAACACUUAUCAAUCGUAUGUCCUCCAUAUCCACAGUAUGUACAAAUUGGCCUGUCUUUCUUUUGACUCCUGCCGUGAAAUGAUUGCCCUGUGCCUGCUCUUUUCACAUCAUUUCUUGUAUAGAAAGCCAAGGAAUCAGCAGUUCCAAUAGUCAGAUUAAUGGUUCUUUGAUGUUCCUUUUGUGAAAUAAGUGUAAACACCUUGUUUAUUGGUGGAAUUGGAUCCAUUAGUAAUAGUUGCCCUCUCAAUUGGGCAUAAGAGUUAUUCAAUCCCAUUAGGAAUGACAUGACGUAUCCCAUAUGGUGAUGCUCUGCCAACCUUUUGUUACCCCUACA
rnacentral:lncRNA from 1 species